CAGUCGCCGCGGUAAUACGAAGGGUGCAAGCGUUACUCGGAAUUACUGGGCGUAAAGCGCGCGUAGGUGGUGGUUUAAGUCCGUUGUGAAAGCCCUGGGCUCAACCUGGGAAUUGCAGUGGAUACUGGAUCACUAGAGUGUGGUAGAGGAUAGUGGAAUUUCCGGUGUAGCAGUGAAAUGCGUAGAGAUCGGAAGGAACAUCUGUGGCGAAGGCGACUAUCUGGGCCAACACUGACACUGAGGCACGAAAGCGUGGGGAGCAAACAGGAUUAGAUACCCCGGUAGUCCCUGUCUCUUAUAC
rnacentral:rRNA from 1 species